rnacentral:lncRNA from 1 species
AAUACUAUAAGGAAAGUGUUGCGUUCACGAUUCAAGCCUGGAUCUCUUUAAUCUUUCCGAAAUUUCUAACAGUCUUAUAGUAGUUUCAAAUAAUGGUUGUCAAGGCUUCAGUUUCAAGCAUCAAAAAGAAAAACUCAAGAAAGAAUACAAGAAGAAUCGGUAUUACGAAAUCUGGUAUGAUUUUAUUAUUCUUCAUAUU